rnacentral:lncRNA from 1 species
AUCACAAGACAUGUAAGUUGUAGAGAUCCAUCCAUCAUAGAUCUUAGCAAGCUAGUGGGAGCUAUAAGCGUCUUAUGAGAGAAAGAUCAAAUUGUUUGAUUUCUCAUAAAGAUGUAAAUGAAUCUUUUGUUUACUAGGUUUACAAAAGAUUAGUGGGAGUUAAUCAUGUUCCUAAAUCAAAAUAUAUAUAUAUAUAUAUACACAUAUAUGAUAUAUUAAUUUUGGAAAUGAAAAGAAUACUUCUUCGUUAAAGUUAUGACUUUAAAAACAUUAUAUAAAGAUAGAAUGUAUAUGGGAGACAUAGUCUAUAUACAUGGGAUGGAAAUCUAUAUUGAUAGAUUUUAGGAUAUAAUUGGAUUAUAUCAUGCCCUAAUAAUAGACAAAAUAUGCUAGGAAGUUUCUCAUAUGAUGAUAAACUUCAAUUAAGAGGACAACUCUAGUUAGACUAAGAAGUUGCUCUUCUCAAAGAGAACGUACUCUUUGACUCCCAAAGAAAUAAUGCGUAAAUAGAAUCCUUUAUGCAUACGCAGAAAGGUGAUUUAUGUAUUUCAUAUUGUAUGAAAAACAUUGAUAUGAGUUGUACCUAGAACGGUACAAAACGAUAUCAGUGCAAGCCCAGGAUCAGAACCAUGGCAACUGUCAAGUGAGUCCUUAAGUAUUUAAGAAAUACUAAAGGAUAGAUUCCUCAAAGAAUGAGGAAGAAUUAGAGUAACGUAAAGGAAGCGUAAAUGUAUUAGAUUAUGAAUCUAAUCCAUCAUUGGAUGUUUCUUCAUUAUGAAUGAAGAGAUAAUCAGAUAUCUCUUUAUUAUGACUAAAGAGAUAUUUGGAUGGAAACAUUAAAAGUAAUGACUUUAGUAUGUUCCAUUAUGAAUGCAAAAUAUAUAUUGCCAUAUAGAAGCUUACAACAUUGUUGUUUGGAUGGGAAAAUUCAUUUAUGAACUCUCUAUUCGAUUCUAACCAGAAAGUGUCUCUAGUGUACCAACACUACCACCCUAAUGGGGCGAUAGCUCAAGCCAGGGAAUCAAGGUCUCAUCAAGAUCCGAAUUCAAAUGAGAGACUGAACCACAUGAUUAAGAAUCAUGUAUAACGGUGAUGUCGUUAUUCUCAAGGUUGCUUCUAUGGAUAACAUAUAGAUAUCCAUUGUCUAGGCCUACUACUCAGCCAUUUAUGAAAUGACUACAGAAGAGGUAUCAUCACUGAUGACCAAGCUGAUUGGCUCAAGUGCAAGUGGGAGAUUGUUGGAAAUGUGCCCUAAAACCAAUCAUAUGAUGAUACUUUACGGACAUUUCACAAAGUUAAACUAAUGUAGUUUAAAUAUAAAGGGCAAAGAUUAUUGUUUGAGCCGUCUCAUAUAACUGUUAUAUGCUUAAACGAUAAGUCCAAGGAAUAUGUGAUUGGGAGAAUGCAAUCUAAAGAAGUUAGAUUCAUGAGACCAUUCUUUCGUAAACACAUCCUAAACGUUCCUGAUCAUAGGAUUGCCAAUUGGGCAUUGACAGUCCGUUAAGAUCAGUACGUGUUGUGUCUUCUCUCAGGGAGAGUGACUAGUCUCGAGUCAUUGGUGUGUGUGACAUCAAGACAAGUACGUAAGUGCUCGAUAGAGAAUGAGUUCACUGAACACGAUCAACGAAGAGUUCUCAUAUUCAUGUCACAUGAGAACUCAUGGUUGGGAUAAUGCAAAGUAGUCCUUUGACCUGAGGCAUCAUAGUUGUCUUGUGGUUAAGUCCUUGAUCUUUGAUUAUAUCAAAGUCACUCCAUCAGGAGGGUGUCCACGGCAUAGUUGGGGUUAUGCCACUUAGCUAUGGAGGCAAGUGAAUGCGCAACAAGGGAUCUCUAACCUUCAAACCGUUUGAGGGAGAAUACUCUAUCAUAUGAUUAAGAAUCUCUGAUCAGAGUAUGAAUGAGAUUUAGGAAGUCGUUCCAAAUCACAUUCAAGGUAAUCAUAUAAGCACACGAAUCACAUUGGAUAGUAGACAUGAAUAAACUAUCAAACCAAACAAUGUGGUUAAGAGUAUUGUAUUAGAGAAAGACCGUAUUGCAUUUGUAAUCCUAAACUGAAUAGGUUCUCCACCUCUUCUGAUUAGCUUGGGUAACCAUGAUAUGCUGCUAGGUGUCACUCAUGGUUUGUGGAAGCCCUAAACAUGUAUAAUCGCUAAAGGGAGAAUUGAAAGUAAGUUUCAAUUCAUAAUCGGUUUGAAAGAGUUCUAAUCGCCCACUGCCUCGCUAAAAGGAACCUAAUGGAUCGUACACCGUGUAAGGUAAAGAUUGAAGAAACAACGGAGAUGAGUAAGAAUAAUUAAAUGGUUUAAUUAUUUAUGGCAAGGAUUAAUUAAUAUGUUAAUUAAUCAAACGAAUAAGUUCGUUAAAGACCUCGGGAUAGUUUUGGACCUUAAGGCCCAAUGGGCUUUGAACGUCAAGUCCAUUGACUUAAGUUGUAUGACAACUUAAUGAAUAAUGAAUCACAAAGGCCCAAAUAGUCCAAUGAAUCCCUAUGGCCGGCCAUUUAGAGAUGGAGUGGGUUUUGGACUUAUUUACAAGUUUGCCACUCCAAUGAAUUAAGGUAUAAAUAUGACUUUAUAGCCAAAAUUCAUUUAGGGUUUUUUUGGAGAAAGGAUGAGAACACAAAGCUCUCUUUUCUCUCUAAAGAGGCCGGCCACCCUAGAGGUGUUGGAAAUGUGCCCUAAAACCAAUCAUGUGAUGAUGCUUUACGGACAUUUCACAUGUUAAACUAAUCUAGUUUAAUAUAAAGGGCAAAGAUUAUUGUUUGAGCCGUCUCAUAUAAAUGUUAUAUGCUUAAACGAUAAAGUCCAAGGAAUAUGUGAUUGGGAGAAUGUAAUCUAAUGAAGUUAGAUUCAUGAGACCAUUCUUUCGUAGACACAUCCUAAAUGUUCCUGAUCAUAGGAUUGCCAAUUGAGCAUUGACAGUCCGUAAAGAUCGGUACGUGCUAUGUCUUCUCUCAGGGAGAGUGACUAGUCUCGAGUCAUUGGUGUGUGUGACAUCAAGACAAGUACGUAGGUGCUCAGUAGAGAAUGAGUUCACUGAACGCGAUCAACGAAGAGUUCUCAGACUCAUGUCACAUGAGAACUCAUGGUUGGGAUAAUGCAAAGUAGUCCUUUGACCUGAGGCAUCACAGUUGUCUUGUGGUUAAGUCCUUGAUCUUUGAUUAUGUCAAAGUCACCCCAUCGGGGUGUCCAUGGCAUCGUUGGGGUUAAGCCACUUAACCAUGGAGGCAAGUGAAUGCGCAACAAGGGAUCUCUAACCUUCAAACUGUUUGAGGGAGAAUACUCUAUGAUAUGAUUUAGAAUCUCUGGCCAGAGUAUGAAUGAGAUUUAGAAAAGUCGUUCUAAAUCACAUUCAAGGUAAUCAUAUAAGCACACGAAUCACAUUGGAUGGUAGACAUGAAUAAAUAAACUAUCAAACCAAACAAUGUGGUCAAGAGUAUUGUAUUAGAGAAAUACCGUAUUGCAUUUGUAAUCCCAAACUGAAUAGGUUUUCUCUACCUCUUCUGAUUAGCUUGGGUAACCAUGAUAUGCUGCAAGGUGUCACUCAUGGUUUGUGGAAGCCCUAAACGUGUGUAAUCACUAAAGGGAGAAUUGAAAGUAAGUUUCAAUUCACAAUCGAUAUAAAAUGGUUUUAAUCGCCCACUGCCUCGCUAAAAGGAACCUAAUGGAUCACACACCGUGUAAGGUGGAGAUUGAAGAAAUAAUGGAGAUGAGUAAGAAUGAUUAAAUGGUUUAAUCAUUUAUUUAUGGCAAGGAUUAAUUAAUAUGUUAAUUAAUCAAACAAAUAAGUUCGUUAAAGACCUCGGGAUAGUUUUAGACAUUAAGGCCCAAUGGGCUUUGAACGUCAAGUCCAUUGACUUAAGUUGUAUGACAACUUAAUGAAUAAUGAUUCACAAAGGCCUAAUUAGCCCAAAAAUA